rnacentral:rRNA from 1 species
UACAGAGGGUGCAAGCGUUGCUCGGAUUUACUGGGCGUAAAGCGUACGCAGACGGUGAGAAAGGUCGGAUGUGAAAGCCCCCGGGGCUCAACCCCGGGAACUGCAUCCGAAACCAUCUCGCUAGAGUAUGGGAGAGGGAAGCAGAAUUCCUGGUGUAGAGGUGAAAUUCGUAGAUAUCAGGAGGAAUACCAGUGGCGAAGGCGGCUUUCUGGGCCUGUUCUGACGCUGAGGAGCGAAAGCGUGGGGAGCAAACCGG